rnacentral:rRNA from 1 species
CCUACGGGAGGCAGCAGUGGGGAAUUUUGGACAAUGGGCGAAAGCCUGAUCCAGCAAUGCCGCGUGCAGGAUGAAGGCCUUCGGGUUGUAAACUGCUUUUGUACGGAACGAAAAAGCUCCUUCUAAUACAGGGGGCCCAUGACGGUACCGUAAGAAUAAGCACCGGCUAACUACGUGCCAGCAGCCGCGGUAAUACGUAGGGUGCGAGCGUUAAUCGGAAUUACUGGGCGUAAAGCGUGCGCAGGCGGUUAUGUAAGACAGAUGUGAAAUCCCCGGGCUCAACCUGGGAACUGCAUUUGUGACUGCAUGGCUAGAGUACGGUAGAGGGGGAUGGAAUUCCGCGUGUAGCAGUGAAAUGCGUAGAUAUGCGGAGGAACACCGAUGGCGAAGGCAAUCCCCUGGACCUGUACUGACGCUCAUGCACGAAAGCGUGGGGAGCAAACAGGAUUAGAUACCCGGGUAGUCCACGCCCUAAACGAUGUCAACUGGUUGUUGGGAAUUAGUUUUCUCAGUAAGAAAGCUAACGC